GUGGGAUAUGCUUUCUGAAUGAUGUCGACUGAUGGGUGCGCCUUUGCAGAGCGGGUGUUGGCUCAGAAGAGCAGUCUAC
ensembl:miRNA bta-mir-2303 bta-mir-2303